rnacentral:misc_RNA from 1 species
UCCUGGUUUCCCAGGCAGUCCCGCCAGAGUGCUCCAUCCGAAGACAGUAGCAACUGGCAGCAGGGGUUGCGCUCGUUAGAGGACUUAACCCAACGUCUCACGACACGAGCUGACGACAGCCAUGCAGCACCUGUGUACCUGUCUAAACCGAAGCUUAGAACGCUGUAUUUCUACAGCUGUCAGGCACAUGUCAAGCCCAGGUAAGGUUCCUCGCGUAGUGUCGAAUUAAACCACAUGUUCCACCGCUUGUGCGGACCCCCGUCAAUUCCUUUAAGUUUUAGUCUUGCGACCGUAAUCCCCAGGCGAACCACUUAACGCGUUAGCUUCGACACCGAUUCGACUAGGUCGAACCGACAUCCAGUGGUCAUCGUUUACGGCGUGGACUAC